rnacentral:rRNA from 1 species
GGCGGCAGGCUUAACACAUGCAAGUCGAGCGGUAGCAGAUCUAGCUUGCUAGAUGCUGACGAGCGGCGGACGGGUGAGUAACGCGUAGGAACCUGCCCAGUAGUGGGGGCUAGCCCCGGGGGAAACUCGGGAUUAAUACCGCAUACGCUCUACGGAGGAAAAGAGGGGGCUUCGGGCUCUCGCUAUUGGAUGGGCCUGCGUGAGAUUAGCUAGUUGGUGAGGUAAUGGCUCACCAAGGCGACGAUCUCUAGCUGGUCUGAGAGGAUGAUCAGCCACACUGGGACUGAGACACGGCCCAGACUCCUACGGGAGGCAGCAGAGGGGAAUAUUGCACAAUGGGCGCAAGCCUGAUGCAGCCAUGCCGCGUGUGUGAAGAAGGCUUUCGGGUUGUAAAGCACUUUCAGUGGGGAGGAAGGCCUCGUAGUUAAUAGCUGCAAGGAUUGACGUUACCCACAGAAGAAGCACCGGCUAACUCCGUG